CCUACGGGUGGCAGCAGUGGGGAAUAUUGCACAAUGGCGGAAACCCUGAUGCAGCAACGCCGCGUGAGUGAAGAAGUAUUUCGGUAUGUUAAGCUCUAUCAGCAGGGAAGAAGAUGACGGUACCUGAUUAAGAAGCCCCGGCUAACUACGUGCCAGCAGCCGCGGUACUACGUAGGGGGCAGCCGUGAUCCGGAUUUACUGGGGGUAAAGGGAGCGCAGACGGCUGUGCAAGUCUGGAGUGAAAGCCCGGGGCCCAACCCCGGAAAUGCUCUGGAAACUGUGCGGCUAGAGUACUGGAGGGGCAGGCGGAAUGCGUAGUGUAGCGGUGAAAUGCGUAGAUAUUAGGAGGAACACCAGUGGCGAAGGCGGCCUGCUGGACAGUAACUGACGUUGAGGCACGAAAGCGUGGGGAGCAAACAGGAUUAGAUACCCGGGUAGUC
rnacentral:rRNA from 1 species